ensembl:lncRNA
UGUGUGUGUGUGUGUGGAGUUGGGGGGAGACCUCCCAAAGCCAACUCAGCCGCCAUCUAUUUGAGUCACCCCCAUCCAUUGAGAGACCCCAGUUUCAUUUGUGUCCGUGUUGGUGGCUGUCUGUUAGCAUGCAGCCGUCGCACUGAGCUGGUAAUGCCAUGGUUUGUAAUGGUUUGUUAGGUGUGGCUGAGGAUCGCACCCGGGGGAGAAGGGACCAUGGGAACGGGGAGAGAUCCGUGGUUGGUCCCAAGCUGACCAGAACAAAGGCCGUGGUCAUGGGUUCAUGUGGAAAAAGUAGAAGAAAAAAAUAAAUAGUAGGAGCAAUGUAACUGCAUCCAUUUAUUUGAGGCAAUUAUAUAUUCAACUCCUAAAAUGGUGGGAUGUAAAAUGAGGCCUGACCUUCUGUCUUGUUUAUCUUUGGCGUUAGAGGGAAAACCAACUAGCUCACCUGCAUGGGGGGAAAACCCUAAGCCUUCCCACCGAGAGGCAAGAGCUAACCACUCUACCGCUGCUCAACCAAAUGAUAACCUGCACAUCACAUCAACGUACAACUUUGUGCUCUUUUUUAAACAGCUUCUUUCAGAGGAAAUCAUUAGUUUACUAGGGAUAGGAAGUUACAUUUUCGUUUUAAAGCGGUCACAGCGGUGGAGGAAUAGAGGGACUGCUCGUUGGGUGGUUUGGUCAGUAAUUGUUGCUUUGCAUCUUGGCUUCAGCAGACUGUUUAGUCAGACUUUGAAGCUAAUCCGACUUAAAGAGUUAGUCAUUUACAUGCCCAGACUUUUUCUAUAUGUGGGAGGCUAGAUCAUUGUGUGUGUGUGUGUGUGUGUGUGUGUGUGUGUGUGUGUGUGUGUGUGUGUGUGUGUGUGUGUGUGUGUGUGUGUGUGUGUGUGUGUGUGUGUGUGUGUGUGUGUGUGUGUGUGUGUGUGUGUAAUAUAUAUACACAGCCUAGCAGCUGCAUUCCAACCUGAUAGUUUAUUCAGUUGAAUUGAGUUUAGCCACAGCCCUGACAAUGCUCACGUCAACGGAAAUGGUCAGCUGACCAAUUCCUCGUCUUCGCCCACCCCCCCAUAAUGAUCAGAAUGUAAUAUUUACUGCCCCCGCAUCCGCCUACGGGUGGAAAUGACCUCCCGCUGAGCAAUGACGAAUCCUACACCCAGUUCUGGUGUGGGGGGGGGGGGGGGCUGCUUCCUCAUUUCUUCCCUGCUGACUCACCACUGAGGCCCGGCCUCCUGGCCUCGGCCUCCGUCCCUUACUGGUGUCCGGUGGUUGGGCCGAGUUCCGGGUUCCUGGCAAUUGAUUAGAUAAUGGUGCUUUGGCGAGGAGGCCAGGAUGCCUGUGGUGAACCCAACACAGCCAGAAUUAACCGGUACAGAGACGGAGAGAGGACCAGGAGGAGGAAGAGGAGGAGGAAGGGAAGUGAAUGUAAUCUCCUUAUGAGGCGCUGGUGAAAAUUGGUUAAAGAUGGUAAACAUUCCUGCAAAACCCGUUUGGAAAAUGUGUCUCAGUUGGGGCCAUAUUCGCUGUGUCUUGUGUAUUUCAUUCUGAUGCUAUUUUUAUGGGCCCUUUUGGCUGUGUAUUACUUGAACUUCAUGUGGCCUGUUUUGUUUCGUUUUUUUUCCCUGGUAUCGCCUACGCAUGGGUCUCUAUAGCUCUCUAGCAAAUUGAGUUGAGCUAGUGGUAUUGAUGCUUCAUGGUGGCAUGCACCCACACAGGAGUGUUGUACCGAUGUUUCUGAACCCAGUGGCGCGACAGCCAAGGCAUGGUGCAUCCGGUGGAAGGCAAGGAAGAGGAGAACACGCAGUGGUUGGCCUUGCCAUUAGCAGCAGUAUGCUAUUCUACAGAAGAGGUUUACCACAGGCUCGUCACCAGGUAAACAGAUUAGGGGCCACAUUUCUAGAGCCCAGCACUGUAAUACACAUUGUUCAUAGAUUGGUAAAUGAGUAUUUGUGUUUAUUUGUUGAAAGGCUCAAGUUUGUUUGGUGAGUAUAGUAGAAAAGGGAAGAGAUAAGUGAGAUGAGAAUGGGUAGGAGGUCAUCUUCAUAUAGAAACUGAUCACUUUAGACUAGUUUCCUAGCUAUCUCUAUAGAGAUUGUGUCAUUCUACUUCCUUAGUUACAUACUACUUCUUAGUGUCAUUUUUAUCAAAGUUUCUCCUGCAGUAACGUUUUUUGGCCAAUGGUCUAUGUGAGGUUUUUCUUGCCUGAAGACUAUAAACGAUUGGAAAGAAGAUUUUAUAAAAUAAAAUUUAUAAGUAUUAAACAUUUACGACAUGGCCUGUAGGAUUCCAACGUUUCACAGGCCAUGCCGUUCUAAAGAAGAACAUCUCGUCAGGUCGUUGGAACAAAGAGGACUGUUGUUCUUGAGAAGGUCACAAGAUUUGGAGUUUAGAUUUAGAUGCAACAUAAACGAUGCCCAUGGGAGGAAUUUCACUGUCAGACUUCCGCUAAAUAACAGUUUGGCUUUAUAUUUCUGUUUUUAUACCGUAGUCUUUUCAUUUGUACGCUCUGUGUCUGGUUUCUUGAUGCAGCAUCAAUGAUAGAAGUGCCUUUACUUACAAUGUUCCUAAAAUCCUCAAGCCAAAUAUGAUAACUUGUGAUUUCUUCAUCAUUUAAUUUAGGAUCAUUAUGCACUGCUCUUUUACAUGUGUCAUCAUGGGUCCCUUUAUUUGCUCAUAGCUAAGACAAACAGUGCUGAACAAUUAAGAAGUGAGUUCCUAACUUCCUCCCACUUGAAAAACUGGAAAUGCUUCACUAUAAAUUUGUUUUAUACCGAAUUAUAUCUGAUGCUAGGCAGAUAAAAUGGUUUAAUGGUUAGAGACCUCAGCCUUCAGCCAAAAUGUUCUGCUUUGGGAAUGAGUAAAUAUUAAAUACAUCACUAAAACAUUAAAAAAAUCGCCAAACAUUUUAGUGGUUGAAUGGAGUUAUUUGCACUUCUUUAAAUUACACAUAUGUAUAUUUCUUUGUCUCAUCUUGGCGUUCUCAAGAGUCUGCCUUUUAAAUGUCUAUCUCACUCCCAGGACGAGAGAAGGGGGAUUCGAGUCGCUUUCAAUGCAUUCUGAUCUGAGGACGCAGUUCCCCUCUACGCCCAGUCGGGGGCAGUGUUUAUCAGAGACCUGCUGCCCUAACCCGCCAGCCUUUUUAGGAUGCAGGAUUCAUGCCUGGCAGUCUGUGUGCUUGCCUGUGACCACCUACUUGUCCGGCCUCUCUUCCACACUGCCUGUUCUCUACCUGCCCGCUCGCAUAGUUAUGCACAACUCCCCAUCUGUGUCUGUCUGCCUGUCUCUCUGAGUGUCCCCAUUCCUGGUCACCGACUGUCUGAACGCCUGUCUCCUCCUCUGUUCCUGUCUGGCCGCCCAGGUGUCUGGCUUUGCCCUUCUUUUUCAUCCUUCGUUGUCCUUGUCAUGUUGUUUGAAACGUCUGGCUGCAGCGUACUGCUGUGCUGGUUCCCUAUCAGUGUCUGACUGUCUGUCUAGCUCUCUGUCUGACUGUCUGGCUCUUUUCAUCUCUAUCUUCUGCCUAGUUGAAUGUCUAGCUCUCUGUCUGUCCGUCUAGCUCUCUGUCUGUCUGUCUGUCUCUCUGUCUGUCUGUCCGUCUGUCUUUCUGUCAGUUUGUCUGUCCGUCUCUACCUCUCUGUGUGUAUGUGUGUGUCUGUCUCUCUGUGCCUUUGAGUCUCUCCUUCUUUCUGUUCCUCUGUCUCUGUGCUGCUCUCUGGCUGUGCGCUGCCAACAGGUGGUCUGUGACAGCGAUGUGUGUGUGC